UUGGUUUCUUAUUUCUUGCAAACUACUGAUUACAAAUUUAUAGCAAAAAGAAGUCACAAAAGUUGCCCACUAUUACAACAAAAAUAGCUAACAACAGUACCAACUUCAGUAGUAGUCAAUUGCAUAACUUUAGAUAACAAAAUAACUACUAUUACACCUGAGCAACCAAAGGCUUGACUUAUUCAAAUAAAACAGACUAAC
rnacentral:lncRNA from 1 species